GACGAACCGUGCGAACGUUGUUCGGAAUCACUGGGCUUAAAGGGCGCGUAGGCGGGCAACCAAGUCCGGGGUGAAAUCCUCCAGCUUAACUGGAGAAGUGCCUCGGAUACUGGCUGUCUUGAGGAGGGUAGGGGCAUCUGGAACUAGCGGUGGAGCGGUGAAAUGCGUUGAUAUCUGGAGGAACACCGGUGGCGAAGGCGGCAUCCUGGACCAUUAUUGACGCUGAGGAGCGAAAGCCAGGGGAGCAAACGGG
rnacentral:rRNA from 1 species